rnacentral:piRNA from 1 species
UCACCCUUUAAGGAUGCUGAGGCCUAGA